rnacentral:sRNA from 1 species
UUUUGUGCCUUAGAAGCUACUUAGACAUGGGCUACCCCAGAAUCCUAGGCCCUAUUUGUGAACCUUCCUCAAAGAGCCUAUGCAAGUCUGUGGAUAGAAGUAGUACUUAUAAGUGGCUUAGAGGUAGGGGAAAGAACCCAGCUUCACUGAACAUUUCAGAACAGCCACACUGGCCUGUCUGGUCCACUUCCUGGAGUACACAGACGAAUGAUUUUUUGUGACGUCUACAUAGUCACCCAAUCUCUUCAUCCGGGGUCAGUACACAGUCUCCCUGGCCACAUGGGUGCCUGGGAAACUGAGAGUGAAGUCUAUUUUCACUCAUCAAAUUCUCACUUUCUGGGUCUCUCAAAUGUUUUCAUGCUCUCAGGUAUCUCUAAGGGACAGCAGUCUGGAGGCUGACCACGUUAUUAGUGCCAUUCCAGCUUCAGGUAAUGGGAUAGCCACCUUCCCCUUCCCCAACCCCUACCAGUGAGAGGCAAAAGCUGUACCUUCCUGGGUCAGCAGGACCACACCAUGCCCCUGAACUGGUCAUCUCUAUGGGAGUCUAAUCCCAAAGAGGACUGACAACUGUAAUGGGAAUGCCUUCUGAGUCAGGCCUCUGCCUGAUCUCUAGUGCUCAGUGAGCUGCUCCCUGCUGAGGCUGCCCCUCUGGCUCGUGCCCUGAGUGCCAUCACUGCAGUGUCUGUAGCUGUGGUGAAUCUGCAGUACCGAGGAGCCCAUCUGCCUGUCCAGGGAUUUGGACAUUUGGUGCCAUCUUCAGAAGAUCCAGCUGUCCUGGGAAUCGUGUAUGACUCAGUUGCUUUCCCUGAGCAGGAUGGGAGCCCCCCUGGCCUCAGAGUGACUGUGAUGCUGGGAGGUUCCUGGUUACAGACACUGGAGGCGAGCGGCUGUGUCUUAUCUCAGGAGCUGUUUCAACAGCGGGCCCAGGAAGCAGCUGCUACACAAUUAGGACUGAAGGAGAUGCCGAGCCACUGCUUGGUCCAUCUACACAAGAACUGCAUCCCCCAGUAUACACUAGGUCACUGGCAAAAACUAGAGUCAGCUAGGCAAUUCCUGACUGCUCACAGGUUGCCCCUGACUCUGGCUGGAGCCUCCUAUGAGGGGGUUGCUGUUAAUGACUGUAUAGAGAGUGGCCGCCAGGCAGCAGUCAGUGUCCUGGGCACAGAACCUAAGAGCUGAUCCCC